GAACUUCUGGCCUCCAGAGCUGCAGUGAAUGCUGGAAGCCAAGCUUGCACAUUCUAGGCAGCCAUUUGGAAGAUUCUUCUCUGCGCAUGACCAGCUGAAAAGGAAAAACCCCGAAACAUUGGCACUGUGAUUUCUCCAUGUGAACAGUUUAGUUCGCCGAGGUGGACAUGCCUCAUUCAUGCUUAUGGAGUGACCGACCAGCCUUUAGUGACACCCCCUGAAAUGUGAGUCAUCCAUGGGUCACUAGUCAUUGGAGAAGAGCCCCUUAUACAAAACUUGGAGCUCAGACCACAAACAACAACAACAAUCCAAAAAAUAAAAAAAUGAAAAAUUAGGAGCAGAGACUAAAUGGAAAGAUGGAAAUAUUAAAAUAAAAAUAUUAUUUUAAAAAUUAAUAUGUAUUAAAAUUUU
rnacentral:lncRNA from 1 species